AAUUCUGGAGAAAUUGUUCAAAGUAGUCCUAAACUGUUCAUCCUAUCCUGCCUUACCCUUCUCUCAGAAACCCCAAUAAAGGCCAUGCCUUACAACUUACCUUGCUCCUGUUUCUGCCUCCUGACCACUCUGGUCUUCCCCAUGUUGCCAUGUAUGGCAUGCCUCCUGUCUCUAGGACCUAUUCAGCAAAAGGGAAAAACAAUGAAAGUCUGUAUUAGUAACCAGAAAAGGUCAGAAGUCUGAGGUACCUGAGAGAAGACAGAAAAAUGAGAUCUGGAAUUUGAGGAGCGCCUGUUAGGAGAAGAGCCAUCUUUACUACUUCCCAAAAGAUUCCCUGUUCUAGUUGGCCUUCUAUAUUGGUGGUUUCUGAAUACAUACCCCAAAGAACUUGAGCAUCAGUGAAUUCUGGUAUCUUCUGGGAGCCCUGGAACUAAUCUCUUGAAGAUACCAAGGGAUGACUGUGUUUUAAAAUGCAAGUGGAUUAGGAUAUUGAUGGUGAUCAUUUUGCAUAAUUUUUUUCAUAAUGUUGGGCUUCCAACAAAAGAUUAAAAG
rnacentral:antisense_RNA from 1 species